CCUUCCGAGGAGUUUCCCAAAACCCUGCGCGGCCGGCUUUGACCGCGCUAAGAUGGCGACUCCCAUGCAUCGGCUAAUAGCCCGGAGACAAGCAUUCGACACAGAGUUGCAGCCUGUCAAGACCUUUUGGAUCCUGAUUCAGCCAUCCAUCGUUAUUAGAGACAGUGUUGCCCAGGCUGGUCUCAAACUCCUGAGCUCGGGUGAUCCUGCCUUGGCCUCUCAAAGUGCCAGGAUUAUAGGCGUGAGCCACUGCGUCCAGCCUCAUACCUGAGCUUUAGAUGAUAUUUGUGAAUGUCGUAUUUAUAACAAUAAAAAACAAACUCCA
rnacentral:lncRNA from 1 species